AUGCAGUCGAACGAUGAUAGCCCUUAAGGGGUGGAUUAGUGGCGAACGGGUGAGUAACACGUGGGCAAUCUGCCCUUCACUCUGGGACAAGCCCUGGAAACGGGGUCUAAUACCGGAUAACACUCUGUCCUGCAUGGGACGGGGUUGAAAGCUCCGGCGGUGAAGGAUGAGCCCGCGGCCUAUCAGCUUGUUGGUGGGGUAAUGGCCUACCAAGGCGACGACGGGUAGCCGGCCUGAGAGGGCGACCGGCCACACUGGGACUGAGACACGGCCCAGACUCCUACGGGAGGCAGCAGUGGGGAAUAUUGCACAAUGGGCGAAAGCCUGAUGCAGCGACGCCGCGUGAGGGAUGACGGCCUUCGGGUUGUAAACCUCUUUCAGCAGGGAAGAAGCGCAAGUGACGGUACCUGCAGAAGAAGCGCCGGCUAACUACGUGCCAGCAGCCGCGGUAAUACGUAGGGCGCAAGCGUUGUCCGGAAUUAUUGGGCGUAAAGAGCUCGUAGGCGGCUUGUCACGUCGGAUGUGAAAGCCCGGGGCUUAACCCCGGGUCUGCAUUCGAUACGGGCUAGCUAGAGUGUGGUAGGGGAGAUCGGAAUUCCUGGUGUAGCGGUGAAAUGCGCAGAUAUCAGGAGGAACACCGGUGGCGAAGGCGGAUCUCUGGGCCAUUACUGACGCUGAGGAGCGAAAGCGUGGGGAGCGAACAGGAUUAGAUACCCUGGUAGUCCACGCCGUAAACGUUGGGAACUAGGUGUUGGCGACAUUCCACGUCGUCGGUGCCGCAGCUAACGCAUUAAGUUCCCCGCCU
rnacentral:rRNA from 1 species